rnacentral:tRNA from 2 species
CGGGGUGUAGCGCAGUUGGCUAGCGCGCUUGCAUGGGGUGCAAGAGGUCGUGGGUUCAAGUCCCGCCACUCCGACCA